UUUUUUUUUGGUGCUUUUUAAGGCUGCACCCACAGCAUAUGGAGCAGCCCAAGAAAUGGCAAAAAGACAAAAAAUAAAAAAAUAAAAAAAAUAUAAGUGCUUGAAGUACGUAGGUACGUGGGGAAGGGGCGGAGAGCAGUGGGGAAGGUGCAGGCGGGAGGCAGAAGUGACGGAUGAGGGGGCCACAGGCAGGUCAGGUGACUUCUGGGUUUACCUCACUCAAAUGGACCCCCAGCAAUGCUUUUACCUGGAGUCCUAGAGGAAGCAGAUAGGCUGACAAAGGUUGUCCACGGGUCAUUCAUGUGGUGAGGAAAAAGAAGGGGGGGGGGGNGGGACCUGGUUUUAGGGGUUUUGUUUUUUUUUUUGCCCUUCUCAGGGCAAUACCCGCAGCAUAUGGAGGUUCCCAGGCUAAGGGUCCAAUUUGAGCUACAGCUGCUAGCCUAUGCCAGAGCCUCGGCAAGGCCAGAUCUGAGCCGCAUCUGUGACCUACACCACAACUAACGGCAACACCGGAUCCUUAACCCAUCAAGCAAGGCCAGGGAUUGAACCGGCGUCCUCAUGGAUAUUAGCUGGUUCAUCACCACUGAGCCGCAUCAGGAACUCCUGCAAUCGCCAGUUUCCAAAUGACAGCUUCUACCAAACUGCAGUGUGAGUUCCAAGCUCUGUGGCUGGUGGACAGCCCUGGACCAGCACCUGCCAGCCGCCGCCGCCUCCUCCUCUCCAGCCCAGCUCUAAAGCCCCUGCUCGGCUGCUGCUCCCUCUGCCGGAGGUGUCCCGCCUUCCUGCCUCUGAGGACCUGCACACGGGGUGUCCGGAUCCCUCCUCCAGCCUGUGUCUUCAGUCUCUUGCCUCAGAGAAGACGGUCCAGCUCAGCCUCCAGCCAGGAGCAGCCUCUGUUCACCCACCACCCCCGUUCCUACCAGUGAGCCCUAUGCCCACAGCAGACCCCUAGUCCCAGCAGCGACUCCACUGCUCACUUGUCACCUCCCUCUGAUAGCCUCCUUCUCCCCUGCUCCUUUCCUCUGGCCUCAGCUACGCUCCUCCUCCAGUCCGACUCUCCCACGGUCCCAGGGAGGCCCAAGGCUGUGGCCUCUGCUUGCUCCCCCCUCUCCAGCUAGAACUCACAAACCCCAGCUGCUGGUUCUCUUUCCUCCUGGAAGGGACGGGUGCCAAGAAUAACCUCUGCUGCCUCACAAGUCGGAGGAGGACCGAGAAGCCGCAGACGUGAUGGAAACAGGGCUGGAUCUCAGGGUGUGAGGACCCCCACGGCACAGACGUGGAGCUGGCACACCUGCAGACCUCCAGCAGGACACGCUCUUGACACAGGCAGAAAAGGCGCCUUCCUGACAUCUGCCACCACUCGUGAUCCCAAAGAGAAGUCUCUGCUCUACCACCACCAAGCCCAAGAGACGAAACCAACGCUGGAAAGGGAAGAGAGAGGAAGAUGGGCUUCGGGGGCUGCAGGCCAGCUCCACCAGGAUUCUUCAUCUUGGCACCACUGACAGCUAAGGUUGGGUCAUCUUUGUUGUGAGCCCUGCCCUCUGCAUUACGGUGUUAGCCGCAUCUCUGGCCUCUACUGACUAGCUGCAUCUCCAGUUCUGAU
rnacentral:lncRNA from 1 species